rnacentral:rRNA from 1 species
CCUACGGGGGGCAGCAGUGGGGAAUAUUGGGCAAUGGGCGCAAGCCUGACCCAGCAACGCCGCGUGAAUGAAGAAGGCUUUCGGGUUGUAAACUUCUUUUAUGAGGGAAGAGCAGAAUACCGUACCUCUAGAAUAAGCCCCGGGUAACUACGGGCCAGCCGGCGCGGUAAUACGUAGGUGGCAAGCGUUGUUCGGAUUUACUGGGUGUAAAGGGGGGGUAGCGGGGAUAACAAGUCAGAUGUGAAAUCCCGUGGCUCAACCUCGGAACUGCAUUUGAAACUGUCUGACUUGAGUACCGGAGAGGCAGGCGGAAUUCCUAGUGUAGCGGUGAAAUGCGUAGAUAUUAGGAGGAACACCAGUGGCGAAGGCGGCCUGCUGGACUGCAACUGACGCUGAGGCGCGAAAGCGUGGGGAGCAAACAGGAUUAGAUACCCGAGUAGUC